CAUUAAAACACACUGUUCCCAUCCAAUCACUGAAGUUAAGCAACAUUGAGUCUAGUCAGUACCUAGAUGAGUGACCACUUGAGAAUACCAGGUGCUGUAAU